rnacentral:tRNA from 1 species
AUGGCUCAGUUGGUAGAGCGUACCCUUGGUAAGGGUGAGGUCCCCAGUUCGACUCUGGGUAUCAGCACCA